rnacentral:ncRNA from 1 species
CCUCAAGAAAGUGCAAGAUAUUUUCUGGCAGUACUAUCUCCAUAAUUCAACUUGGCUUUUGGUGAUAAUAACUGGGCGACAUGUAAAUAUGACCAAACGCCCUCGACCUAUUCUCAAACUUUAAAUAGGUAGGACGGCGCGGCUGCUACGUUGAGCCGCGCCACGGAAUCGAGAGCUCCAAGUGGGCCAUUUUUGGUAAGCAAAACUGGCGAUGCCGGAUGAACCGGAAGCCGGGUUACGGUGCCCAACUGCGCGCUAACCUAGAACCCACAAAGGGCGUUGGUCGAUUAAGACAGCAGGACGGUGGUCAUGGAAGUCGAAAUCCGCUAAGGAGUGUGUAACAACUCACCUGCCGAAUCAACUAGCCCCGAAAAUGGAUGGCGCUGAAGCGCGCGACCCACACCCGGCCGUCGGGGCAAUCGUUAGGCCCCGAUGAGUAGGAGGGCGCGGCGGUGGCUGCGAAACCCACGGCGCGAGCCGGGGCGGAGCCUCCGUCGGUG